GAGUCGUCAUUUAUGUUAAUUACACAACGCAGAGAGGGAAAGAAGGGAUAACCGACCGCAAGGCGGACCGGUUACACAAGCGUUAUCAUAAUGAAUGCAAACAACGAACGAUCACCUGAGCCGUGCAAUGGAUCCUUCCUCUGGGAUCACUCGUUCUUGGACUGGAUCCUGUCUCUAUGAUCAGCCAGCCCUGCACUGGAUCCUGCCUCCAGGAUCACCUGAGGUCUGCACCAGAUCCUGCUUCCUGGAUCACCUAAACCCCCUGUGUCUCUUCUUGCACCUUUUUCUUGUGUACUGCUGUCUUAGAAAUUUUGAACCUGGAAGCAACCUGCUGCUCAGUGUAGCCUUCUGCCAGCGAAACCAGGAUUAAACCAAGAUUUUUUUUUUCCCAGAGCUGUAUAAGGGUGUCUGUCCAUAGUGCCAUGUGUAUGCAAACAAUACAUAAUACAGGAAGAGUGUAAUUAAGCUGAGCAAUUAGCAAAAACAUGCUGAUGAAACAGAAAUACUACUCAUCUGUACUCAGCAGAAACAACUUCUGCUACAUUCAGAAUAUGUGAUUGUUAUGCCUACUGGAGGUAAGUAUGACCCAGGUGUGGUGCAAAACAGUUUGCAGGCAACUUUAUUAGUCAUGGGGUAAAUAAGCUCAGGAGUGUGGAGCAGGUUAACCGACAACAAAGACAACUGGAGAACACAGGUCUGUGAAAUAAAUACCAGACUAACGAAUGGGCAAACACAGGGCAGUUGGUAGUGAUUGACAGAAGGGCAAGAAUAUGAGGAGACUAAUAGAUACCAGGUGUGGCUCAUUAUGUUCACGCCAGGGAGGAGACCAGGAGGGUAAGGUUCACAAGAUAGGCAGGGCGUGACAGUGAUGGUGAUCAUUAUCCUGUAUUAAUAUUUGAUGAUAUAACAAUAAAUGCAAUAACAAUCAUUGGUCAUUGUUAACUUAGAGUACAGAUACGGACUUCAUCCGAGGCAAAAAUCGGCUUUAGCUAUAGGCAGCUGCAUAUAGGCAGAUAUGGGCCUCAGCCAAGGCAGAGCUUCAUCUGAGGCAGAUACAGGCUUCAGCCAUGACAGACACUAGUUUCAUCUGAGGCAAAUGCAAGCUUCAGCCACGGCAGAGCUUCAUCCAAGGCAGAUACAGGCUUCAGCCAUGACAGAUACGGGCUUCAUCUGAGGCAGAUACAGGCUUCAACCAUGGCAGAGCUUCAUCCAAGGCAGAUACAGGCUUCAGCUGAGGCAGAUACUGUUCAGCUAAUGGCCCAGUGCCUGUAGCUUUAGCAGACGAGUAUGGCUAUAACACAGGGGAGAACCAUUGAUAUGACACAAUCAUUUGGAUGAAAGCAAGACCUUUACCUUUCACAUAGAAUCAAACCAUCUAAAUAAAAAUACAUAUUUUCCUGCAAGUGGAGGGCAGUUUUGGCACAGACAAUAUCAUUUAACCAGUUGAUAAUAUGCAAUAACUUUCAUAGUUGCAUUUCCAUUUAUUUGCUCAGCAGGCACAUUUAUCCAAAGUGGCGCACAUCUGUUGCAGCAACUGGGGAUUAAGGGCCUUGCUCAAGGACCCAACAGUGACGUCACUCUGCUGACUACUGGAUUUGAACUGGGCAAGUAUGAACUGAGCAUACCUGCAAUGAACACCAUAAGCAAGAGCCACCUUCUGGAAAACCGUUCUGCAAAAGUUUGUCCAUGAUAUCAUAAUACGUUUUUUAAUUUCUUUAUUUAGUUUUCUAAUUUGUACAACCUGCACUGUUAAGCUUUAAUAUUUUAUAGGGCUGCACGAUAUCACACCACAACAUAAUCGCAAGUAUAUGGCGCAAGGCUUAAGAUGACAGGCGUGAACAUUUGUCCAGAUAGCAGCUUUUCGGACAUUUUUGCCCAAAAUAGUAGUACAGAUAAAAUAUUAAUAAGAGGUGUAUUGUGACACUCAAAAGUAAGUAAUCUGUAUUCAUUUAUUGUUUUGCAGUUUAAAUUCUGACACCUUUAGAAAAUAUAAGGAUACGCUGAAUUUAUACAGAUUACUAAGUUUUGAGCAUCACAAUAUGCCUCUCAUUAACAUUUUAGGCAUACUACUAA